AAAAGCUGCUGAAACUGGAGAAAGAAACUUUCCGGGCAGCUCUAAGAGUGGUAUCGACUGCUUUGUCUGAGAGGACACACGGUGUUUGUGGCAGCUAUCGCUGACUUCCAGCUAUACAAAUAUAAAACAUCACAAAAGCAUUUUUCUUCUCGGUUUCGUGUGAGUAUAUAUUCAUUGAUUUCAGUGCAAUUAUAACUGAUCAUUUGCCUGCCACGAGAGUUAGAUCAGUGCUGGCCAUUAAAGGCUGCUCUGAACAGACUUACGCUGGGUAAAAUGGAUAGGAGGAGAUCAGCUAUUCUCUGCUCUGUGACAGCAUACAACUGCAGACAUCAGGGAAAUCAUUAAGGCAGCAUUACGUCUUCAAAAGCCAAACAAACAAAAAAAAAAUCCAUCCUUCACCUUCCUCUAAACCUUAACAGACUGCUAUUCACUGCCUUCCCACGAUGUACUCUGUGGGGCUUUUUUUCCCUGGUUUUCCACUGUAGAACCAGCGGGUUACCCCGCCAUACAGCAAUCACAGCCACACACUUUGCUUUCACUGUUGAGGUCUGAGGGGCUUCCAAGAGAGAGCUGAGUCCACCAGCGUUGAGCUGGCAUAGCUGAGGCAUUGGUGCACAUUCACAACAGCACUCCAAAGGCUGCCUGUGGAAACGAUUACACCGGUGGGAGGCACUUAUCCCAUGCCCAACGCGCAUAAGUCACCCACCUGCUCUGACCACAGCACACGGGUGCCCAAUUUGGUGCAUUAAGCAUUAACUUUGAACCGACAGGGGAGCCUUGGCGCACCAACAGUAGGGUAAAACCCAAACACAUGUCAGCAGCGUAUUGCUUGGAGGAGCCAUAGGAAGACAAGCUGGCAGCAGACAUGGCACUGCCUUUUGUCUCACGCUCACUUACUCUUGGGCAGCCAGACGCCGCCACAACCCAACUACCCGGCACCCACUGCUCUCCAGCUGCCAUCGCUCCAGCAGCAGAUAGGUGCCCAGCACGCUCACCGCCGGUGGGUACGUGAGAGAGGCUACGCCGCACGGGGAUAAAAGUUAAAGAAACAGCUCUGCGGUCACGGCAGGGUUAAAAUACAGCCUCCAAGCCUUUAUCCCCUCUCUGCUGUACGACUGCUCCGGUACACCAACGGGAACGGGAAGAGCAGCGUUUAGAAGUGAACAGAAAGUUACCAAACUUCCGACGCGAAGCUGUAUUUAAAACCCAGAAAUACGGAGUUUGGGGCACCGCUUCAACACUUCUCCAGCUCUCCUUUCCACACCUCCGGGGCCACCGGCGCGCUCCGCGGUUCAUCGCGCGGCACGUCCCCCCUCCGGCGCUUUAAAUCUAACCUAAACGCCCCCCGCGCUGGGGAACGGAGGCAGCAGAACAGCCCUGUGGAAAAGGACUUGAGGGUGCUGGUGCGUGAAGAGGCAGACGUGAGCCAGCAGCGUGCUCUUGCAGCCCGGAAGGCGAAGUGUGAAGUGUGUCCUGGGCCGCAGCAAAAGGAGGGUGACAGCAGGGAGAGGGAGGUGAUUGUGCCCCCUCUGCUCUGCCCUUCUGAGGCCCCAUCUGGAGUACCGUGUCCAGGCCUGGGGCUCCCGGUAUGGGAGAGAUGUGGAGCUGUUGGAGCACGUCUAGGGGAGGGCCGCACAAAUGAUCCAAGGAUUGGAACACCCCCCCCCCCCCCUGCAGGGAUAGGCUGAGAACGCUGGGGCUGUUCAGCACGGAGAAGGGAAGGCUCCAGGGAGACCUCAUUGAAGCCUUCCAGUACUUGAAGGGAGCGUAUGAGCUGGAGGGGAACUGACUUGUUACAGAACCUGAUAGCGGAGGAGCGUUGGCUUCUGUCUGUCAGAGCAGGCAUCUUUCUGCAAUCAAGCACCUGAAAACUCUUGUCCUCUCAUUAAUUCACGCACCUACAAAGGAACACAUUCUGUUUGUUGGUGCUCUGUAUGUGCCCUGGGGAGCAGUUCAUCUAGAAGCUGCCUCUUCAUGCCCCUCUCCUUGGAAGCGUUUGGAUUUUCUCAGAAGAUGGGAGCACUCUGAGGGCAAGCACUACACAGUGCAUAUGCUGAGACUUGCAGAUGAACAUCAUUUGCUGUGUACAUAGGUACAGCGGAUGCCUGGCAGUUGGCUACAAGCUACAUGAGCUAACUUGAAGGAUGUAGUCCAUGGGAUGUGUACACUGGACAACCCUCAACUGGCUGGGAUGUGGUAAGCAUGAAUUGUUCAGGAUCAGUUCAGAGUGCUGGAAGAAGUCUAGUGUUAUCAUGCAUCCUGCGACCAAGACAAUUACACCUGCAGGCAUUUCACCACUGAGGCAGACUAUGCCUAGGAGUCUGAAGAGGAAGUAUUUCCACUCCCAGACCUUUUGUGCUCUUGGCAAGUUCAUGUCAGUGCCCUG
ensembl:lncRNA